AGUGGCAUAACUGGGUCAAAUGGUGAUUCCAGUUUUCUAAGGAAUAUCCAUAUUGCUUUCCAGAGUGGUUGCACCAAUUUGCAGUCCCACCAGCAAU
rnacentral:pre_miRNA from 1 species